rnacentral:rRNA from 1 species
UACGUAGGGGGCAAGCGUUGUCCGGAAUUAUUGGGCGUAAAGAGCGUGUAGGCGGUCCGGUAAGUCGGCUGUGAAAGUCCAGGGCUCAACCCUGGGAUGCCGGUCGAUACUGCCGGACUAGAGUUCGGAAGAGGCGAGUGGAAUUCCCGGUGUAGCGGUGAAAUGCGCAGAUAUCGGGAGGAACACCUAUGGCGAAGGCAGCUCGCUGGGACGUUACUGACGCUGAGACGCAAAAGCGUGGGGAGCAAACAGG